rnacentral:rRNA from 1 species
CCUACGGGAGGCAGCAGUGAGGAAUAUUGGUCAAUGGACGAGAGUCUGAACCAGCCAAGUAGCGUGAAGGAUGCCUGCCCUAUGGGUUGUAGACUUCUUUUAUGUGGGGAUAAAAUGUUCCACGUGUGGGAUUUUGUAUGUACCAUAUCAAUAAGGAUGGGCCAACUCCGUGCCAGCAGCCGCGGUAAUACGGAGGAUUCGAGCGUUAUCCGGAUUUAUUGGGUUUAAAGGGUGCGUAGGUGGAAUGUUAAGUCAGUUGUGAAAGUUUGCGGCUCAACCUUAAAAUUGCAGUUGAGACUGGCAGUCUUGAGUACAGUAGAGGUGGGCGGAAUUCGUGGUGUAGCGGUGAAAUGCUUAGAUAUCACGAAGAACUCCGAUGGCGAAGGCAGUUCACUGGACUGCAACUGACACUGAGGCUCGAAAGUGUGGGUAUCAAACAGGAUUAGAUACCCCAGUAGUC